rnacentral:rRNA from 1 species
UACAGAGGUCUCAAGCGUUGUUCGGAUUCAUUGGGCGUAAAGGGUGCGUAGGCGGCGCGGUAAGUCGGGUGUGAAAUCUUGGAGCUUAACUCCGAAACUGCAUUCGAUACUGCCGUGCUUGAGGACUGGAGAGGAGACUGGAAUUUACGGUGUAGCGGUGAAAUGCGUAGAUAUCGUAAGGAGACCAGUGGCGAAGGCGGGUCUCUGGACAGUCCUGACGCUGAGGCACGAAGGUCAGGGGAGCAAACGGG